CCCUACGGGGGGCAGCAGUGAGGAAUAUUGGUCAAUGGGCGAGAGCCUGAACCAGCCAAGUCGCGUGAGGGAGUACUGCCCUAUGGGUUGUAAACCUCUUUUGUCGGGGAGCAAAGCGAGUCACGUGUGACUCAUUGAGAGUACCCGAAGAAAAAGCAUCGGCUAACUCCGUGCCAGCAGCCGCGGUAAUACGGAGGAUGCGAGCGUUAUCCGGAUUUAUUGGGUUUAAAGGGUGCGCAGGCGGAGGUGCAAGUCAGCGGUCAAAUUGCGGGGCUCAACCCCGUACUGCCGUUGAAACUGCAUCC
rnacentral:rRNA from 1 species